UACAGAGGUCUCAAGCGUUGUUCGGAUUCAUUGGGCGUAAAGGGUGCGUAGGUGGCGCGCUAAGUCAGGUGUGAAAUUUCGGAGCUUAACUCCGAAACUGCAUUUGAUACUGGCAAGCUAGAGUGCGGUAGAGGGUAGUGGAAUUCCCGGUGUAGCGGUGAAAUGCGUAGAGAUCGGGAGGAACACCAGUGGCGAAGGCGGCUACCUGGACCAGCACUGACACUGAGGCACGAAAGCGUGGGGAGCAAACAGG
rnacentral:rRNA from 1 species